UAUUGAACCAAUUGGUCUUUCUAUAAAAAAAAUGUUCACACACUCCGAUGUAUUUCUCCCACUUUGCUCCAUUCUUGGAUACGACUAUUUCCAUUUCUCCGCAUGUACAUCCCACCAGAAACACAAAUAGGUAAAAGUUUGAUGAUAGUCUCCAUCUUCUUCUUUUUGAAGAAAAAAUUGUGCUCAUCUUUCUUCACUACUUCUCUGUCCAAUCUUCAUAUGCGCACCUCGCUUGCAAUACCUUCUUUCUUGUGUGUGCAUUUCUUCCAACUGCAAAGAAUUGUUACAGAGCUCUUGUUGUUUGCUACAAGACAUGAUACACGUGAAGGGGAAACAUUAAUAUAUGUAAUCAAGGAGGACUUGUGAUAUAUCCUUGCAACCCACACUAAGUAAUCUGUAUUAUUAAAGAGCAAUCAAAUUUGCCUCAUGCUUCACGUCAACCCAUGCCUCAGCGGGGAUGAAGGGUUUAGGAAGAACUUUAAAAUGUAAACAUAAGUGUAUCGACCAUGCUUAGAGAUUUCAAGACAAAGUUAUAAACAAGCUUAUAUUAAAAAAUAAGUUUUGAACAUGUUAGAGNNNN
rnacentral:lncRNA from 1 species